GUUGGAGGGCAGGCCUAUCGCUCCCUGCUAUUUGAGCCCAUGGAGAGGAGCCUGCUGCCCACAGCUGCUGGUCUCACCACGAGGGCCUGGCAUCGUAGGCAGGGGGAAUGGGGAGGGGACGGUAGGGUCAGCCUAGACUCACACACAGAAGCUGACAAUGACUGCUGGGCUUUCCCAGUGAAUACCGGAACACCAUUUCCUGCAGCCUGAAAAGAAGACAGUAUAAUUAUUUGGCAGCAAGAGCCCAAGCCAGAAACAAGAGACAUGAUGAUGGUAGUGGUGCCAAGGAGGAACUUUAACCUGAGCGCCAUCCACACACAGGAGGCAGGCCACCCUCCCGGCCACACUGCGAAUGAAUGUUGGGCGCCACCCGGGUCCUCAAGUGCUUUCCCAGUCACCCCCAGCUGCCAGGUUCCCCAGGCCUACUAUAGACGGGCCACCCCACUUUACCCCCAACACCCUACAAUCAUUAGAACCUGAACCCUGCCUCCCAUGCCUGCCUCCAUGGCAGGCCCCUGCAGAAACCAAACACAGUCACCUUAGACUCUGGCAUACUGAAACCAGGGCCUGACCCUGGCCCUCUCGCCUGCAAUUUACUAUUUAAUAAAAAUGUUG